rnacentral:rRNA from 1 species
AGAACGAACGCUGGCGGCAGGCCUCAAACAUGCAAGUCUAGGGGGUGUAGCAAUACAUCACCGGCGGACGGGUGCGUAACGCGUGGGAAUAUACCUAUUGGUUCGGAACAACUGAGGGAAACUUCAGCUAAUACCGGAUGAGCCCUAACGGGGAAAGAUUUCUCGCCAAUAGAUUAGCCCGCGUCCGAUUAGCUAGUUGGUGGGGUAAAAGCCUACCAAGGCGACGAUCGGUAGCUGUUCUGAGAGGAAGAUCAGCCACACUGGGACUGAGACACGGCCCAGACUCCUACGGGAGGCAGCAGUUGGGAAUCUUGGACAAUGGGGGAAACCCUGAUCCAGCCAUGCCGCGUGAGUGAUGAAGGCCUUCGGGUUGUAAAACUCUUUCGACGGGGACGAUAAUGACGGUACCGUAGAAGAGCUCCGGCUAACUUCGCGCCAGCGCCGC